UACGUAGGGGGCAAGCGUUGUCCGGAUUUAUUGGGCGUAAAGAGCGUGUAGGCGGCUAGGUAGGUCCGUUGUGAAAACUCGAGGCUCAACCUCGAGACGUCGAUGGAAACCAUCUAGCUAGAGUCCGGAAGAGGAGAGUGGAAUUCCUGGUGUAGCGGUGAAAUGCGCAGAUAUCAGGAAGAACACCCGUGGCGAAGGCGGCUCUCUGGGCCUUACCUGACGCUGAGGCGCGAAAGCUAGGGGAGCAAACAGG
rnacentral:rRNA from 1 species